rnacentral:lncRNA from 10 species
CCCGAGAUGCUCACGUUUUGUGGGGUGGGAGAGUGGCCAGGAUAGACCCUUUUUCCGGUAACUAAACUUCUUGCGGGCAGACACAGCGUUUGAGUUUUCGCAUUGGCUUCAAACAAACCCAGUGGAAGUGGACAGUGAACAAGACACCCCCGCAGGAGGCCCGGGCACGGGGUGUGGCUGCCAGGCCUGGCCAUGGAAGGCCAUCACUGUGGGCUCUUCUGGGAGUGGCACUGACAGCCAGCAAGGAGAAUGGGUGCUGGGGCGGAGUGGAAGAAGGUGAGCUUGAGGCCGGAGUUCCUACCCCAGGAGGCACCGUCAGCGUCCCACUUCUGCUCGUGUGAUCCCCUGGAGGCACCUGAAUCAGGCAGUAAACAUGGAGUGAGAAACACCGGAGUAGAAGACCUUGCAACAGCACAUGUGUGGGCCCAGUUCCUAGCUGCCCCGGGUGGCCAAGGCCACAUCCUGUACACACAGGUCUGGGAGUGUCUGCAUUUCAGCCCUUGACCGUGAACUUGACCCUCUGGAGGUGUCCAUCUUGAUGUGAUCCUCUGACUGCAACCUCAUCCUCUGCCUCUCAGAGCUGCCUCCCCCUGUGGCUUCUUGCCCUGAGGCAUGGGAGGCGUUGGUGCCAGGAGCUUGGGGUUUGAGUCAGGUUGGCUCGGGGAUAAGACCCAGCCUUUCCACACAUUAGUUUGUGAUGCUGGGUCAUAGUGCGUCUGUUUGCUCCCUGUCAAGGGACCAGUAACAUGAGGGGUCAGAGAAGGGAUCAGAACUCUCGUGGGCCUCCAGUGUGUCGCAAGUUUUUGCUGUUCUGCUUUUCCUCAGCUGCUGGUGGGAAUGCAAAUUGCUGUGCUGACUUUGGAAAAACUCUCCGGCAGUAAAGCCUAAAGUUCCACAUCCACACACCGUACUGUGGCCCAGCUGAUUUCUCUCCUAAGGGUAUCCCGGAGUAACUUCUGCACAUGGAUGCCUGGGACUUUACAGCCCUUCUGCACACAAUAACAGAAACCUGGAAGCCACCCAGAUGCCCAUCAGUGGGAGAAGGGAUGAAUACACGAAGACACGAUCACACAAUGGAAUAUUAUACAGCUGUCCAAACACAUUAACUGCAGCAUAACUUCAGUGAUGUAGGUGGAUUCUGGCAAUAUCAUAAAUAUUAGUAAAAAUAGCAUGUUCCCAAUGAUGACUUACAGCACUAUGCCUUUUAAAAAUAAAGUUAAAAGCAACUACAAUGACUGUACUCUCUAGGAAAAUUUACAGGUGCAAUAAAAC